UGGGGAAUAUCGCACAAUGGGCGCAAGCCUGAUGCAGCCAUGCCGCGUGUAUGAAGAAGGCCUUCGGGUUGUAAAGUACUUUCAGCGGGGAGGAAGGUGUUGAGGUUAAUAACCUCAGCAAUUGACGUUACCCGCAGAAGAAGCACCGGCUAACUCCGUGCCAGCAGCCGCGGUAAUACGGAGGGUGCAAGCGUUAAUCGGAAUUACUGGGCGUAAAGCGCACGCAGGCGGUCUGUCAAGUCGGAUGUGAAAUCCCCGGGCUCAACCUGGGAACUGCAUUCGAAACUGGCAGGCUAGAGUCUUGUAGAGGGGGGUAGAAUUCCAGGUGUAGCGGUGAAAUGCGUAGAGAUCUGGAGGAAUACCGGUGGCGAAGGCGGCCCCCUGGACAAAGACUGACGCUCAGGUGCGAAAGCGUGGGGAGCAAACA
rnacentral:rRNA from 1 species